UACGGGGGGGGCAAGCGUUGUUCGGAUUCAUUGGGCGUAAAGGGUGCGUAGGCGGCGCGGUAAGUCGGAUGUGAAAUCUCGGAGCUUAACUUCGAAACUGCAUUCGAUACUGCCGUGCUUGAGGACUGGAGAGGAGACUGGAAUUUACGGUGUAGCGGUGAAAUGCGUAGAUAUCGUAAGGAAGACCAGUGGCGAAGGCGGGUCUCUGGACAGUUCCUGACGCUGAGGCACGAAGGUCAGGGGAGCAAACGGG
rnacentral:rRNA from 1 species